GAUGAACGCUGGCGGCGCGCCUAAUACAUGCAAGUCGAACGAUUAAAGCACCUUCGGGUGUGUAUAAAGUGGCGAACGGCUGAGUAACACGUGGGCAACCUGCCCCUUUCAUUGGGAUAGCCACGGGAAACCGUGGAUAAUACCGAAUACUUCGAGACUUCCGCAUGGAAGACUCGAGAAAGCUCCGGCGGAGAGGGAUGGGCCCGCGGCCUGUUAGCUUGUUGGUGGAGUAACGGCCUACCAAGGCAAUGAUGGGUAGCUGGGUUGAGAGACCGACCAGCCAGAUUGGGACUGAGACACGGCCCAGACUCCUACGGGAGGCAGCAGUGGGGAAUCUUGCACAAUGGGCGAAAGCCUGAUGCAGCGACGCCGCGUGCGGGAUGAAGGCCUUCGGGUUGUAAACCGCUUUCAGCAGGGACGAGGCGAAAGUGACGGUACCUGCAGAAGAAGCCCCGGCUAACUACGUG
rnacentral:rRNA from 1 species